AUUGAACGCUAGCGGCAUGCCUUACACAUGCAAGUCGAACGGCAGCACGGGGCAACCUGGUGGCGAGUGGCGAACGGGUGAGUAAUGUAUCGGAACGUGCCCAGUAGCGGGGGAUAACUACGCGAAAGCGUAGCUAAUACCGCAUACGCCCUACGGGGGAAAGGGGGGGAUCGCAAGACCUCUCACUAUUGGAGCGGCCGAUAUCGGAUUAGCUAGUUGGUGAGGUAAAGGCUCACCAAGGCUUCGAUCCGUAGCUGGUUUGAGAGGACGACCAGCCACACUGGGACUGAGACACGGCCCAGACUCCUACGGGAGGCAGCAGUGGGGAAUUUUGGACAAUGGGGGCAACCCUGAUCCAGCAAUGCCGCGUGUGCGAAGAAGGCCUUCGGGUUGUAAAGCACUUUUGGCGGGAACGAAACGGUGCCGGAUAAUACCUGGCGCCACUGACGGUACCCGCAGAAUAAGCACCGGCUAACUACGUG
rnacentral:rRNA from 1 species